GUUAGCCCACCAAGCAAUCCACACUGUGUUUCGAUCUGCAAACGUCCGCCUUUUCGGAGGCUUGGCUCUCACUAGGUCAUUCAGCUAACCCAGUGUUUCUUAACCACGGCAUUAUUGCUAUGUGGAGCUGGAAAAUUAUUUGUUGUAGGAGGCAGUCCUGUGCAUCGUAAGAUAGUCACAGCGUCCCCGGUCCGUACCGUCCAAAAGCCAGUAGCUCUCGGCCCUCACGCUCACAGGUAUGAGAACCAAGUCUCCGGACAUUGCCAAACAACCUCUGGGAGGCAAAAUCGCCCCCAGUUUUUGAGAACCACGGAGCUGAGCUUUCAUAGAAUUUCCGCCGUUGUGUGCUCUGAGCAAGAUUAAAAAAAGGUGAGCUCGAUCCCCAAGAUGCUCAAGUGUAAUUAGAAAGAAAAGGAACCAGAUCUCUCAGCAGUAAGAAAAUAUCGCAGCCAAAGAAUUGAACAAGAACGAAGAUGCCUUGUAGACUGGGUAAACAGUUUAGAA
rnacentral:lncRNA from 1 species